UACGGGGGGGGCAAGCGUUGUUCGGAAUUACUGGGCGUAAAGGGCUCGUAGGCGGCGCGGUAAGUCGGGUGUGAAAUCUCGGGGCUUAACUCCGAAACUGCAUUCGAUACUGCCGUGCUUGAGGACUGGAGAGGAGACUGGAAUUUACGGUGUAGCGGUGAAAUGCGUAGAUAUCGUAAGGAAGACCAGUGGCGAAGGCGGGUCUCUGGACAGUUCCUGACGCUGAGGCACGAAGGCCAGGGGAGCAAACGGG
rnacentral:rRNA from 1 species